rnacentral:rRNA from 1 species
UACGGAGGGUGCAAGCGUUAUCCGGAUUCACUGGGUUUAAAGGGUGCGUAGGCGGGCAGGUAAGUCAGUGGUGAAAUCUUUGGGCUUAACCCGAAAACUGCCAUUGAUACUAUCUGUCUUGAAUAUUGUGGAGGUUUGCGGAAUAUGUCAUGUAGCGGUGAAAUGCUUAGAUAUGACAUAGAACACCAAUUGCGAAGGCAGCUGGCUACACGAAUAUUGACACUGAUGCACGAAAGCGUGGGGAUCAAACAGG